rnacentral:lncRNA from 1 species
UGGUAUGUCUUGCCGAACUUCAUUUUUCAUCAACACUUAACCCAAAUCCUUCAACCUUAAUUAAAUUUACUGGAGAAGGGUUGCGACUGAAAGGCCGAAAAAAGUCAAACUUUGCUUCUGAAAGUUUUAUCUGGUGAUGUUUGUGUGUAGGGCUGUGUAACGGUUUCUCUCUCUGUGAUUCCCGAAACAGCAAAGAACGGCGAGAUGAUUUGGGGAUAUAUCCGGUAUCC